rnacentral:rRNA from 1 species
AUUGAACGCUGGCGGCAGGCCUAACACAUGCAAGUCGACCGAAGGAAGGGGGUUUGCUCUUGAAUUAGGGGGCGACGGGGUGGGAAAUGCCUAGAAAUUUGCCUGGAGUUGGGGAUAACGGUCCGAAAACGGGGCUAAAUCCGCCAACCGUCUGGGGGUGGAAGUUGGGGGUGCUCGGGCCCCCACGCUUCCGGAUAAGCCUAGGUGGGAUUAGCUAGUUGGGGGGGUAAAGGCCUACCAAGGCGACGAGCCGUAACUGGUCUGAGAGGAUGAUCAGUCACACUGGAACUGAGACACGGUCCAGACUCCUACGGGAGGAAGCAGUGGGGAAUAUUGGACAAUGGGCGAAAGCCUGAUCCAGGCAUGCCGCGUGUGUGAAGAAGGUCUUCGGAUUGUAAAGCACUUUAAGUUGGGAGGAAGGGAAGUAAGUUAAUACCUUGCUGUUUUGACGGUACCAACAGAAUAAGCACCGGCUAACUUCGUG